rnacentral:rRNA from 1 species
CCUACGGGAGGCAGCAGUGGGGAAUCUUGCGCAAUGGGCGAAAGCCUGACGCAGCAACGCCGCGUGCGGGAAGAAGGCUUUCGGGCUGUAAACCGCUUUCAGCAGGAACGAAAAUGACGGUACCUGCAGAAGAAGGAGCGGCCAACUAUGUGCCAGCAGCCGCGGUGAUACAUAGGCUUCAAGCGUUGUCCGGAUUUAUUGGGCGUAAAGGGUUCGUAGGCGGUCGAGUAAGUCGGGUGUGAAAAUUCUGGGCUCAACCCAGAGACGCCACCCGAUACUGCUUAACUUGAGUUCGAUAGGGGAGUGGGGAAUUCCUAGUGUAGCGGUGAAAUGCGCAGAUAUUAGGAGGAACACCGGUGGCGAAGGCGCCACUCUGGAUCGAUACUGACGCUGAGGAACGAAAGCAUGGGUAGCAAACAGGAUUAGAUACCCUGGUAGUCCAUGCCGUAAACGGUGGGCACUAGGUGUGGGAUUCUAUUAACGAAUUCCGCGCCGUCGCUAACGCAUUAAGUGCCCCGCCUGGGGAGUACGGUCGCAAGACUAAAACUCAAAGGAAUUGACGG